ensembl:misc_RNA Metazoa_SRP Metazoan signal recognition particle RNA
GCCGGGCACGGUGGCACAUGCCUGUAGCCUCAGAUACUCGGGAGGCUGAGGUGGGAGGAUUGCUUGAGCCUAAGAGUUCUAUGCCGAUCAGGUGCCCGAACUAAGCUCAGCAUCAAUAUGGUGACCUCCCGGGAGCAGAGGACCACCAGAUUGCCUAAGGUGGGGUGAACCAACCUCUACUUAAAAAGAAAAAAAAAAAGCGGCUAGGCAGAGUCACUCACACCUGUAACCCCAGCGCUUUGUGGGGCCAAGGCAGGCAGAUCACUUGAGGUCAGGAGUUCGAGACCAGCCUGGCCAAUUAGCGAAACCCGCUUCUA